GGUCAGGUCUUUAUGGACAUUUAAAAUUGCAUUUAAUUGAACUCUGUAUCUCAGCUUCUCACUCUUUAGCUAUUUUAGAUUAAGAAAAGUUUACAGGUUUAGAUAAGAGUUGAUGACACAUGGAGAUUGGUUUACAUCUUUUUUUUCAAUAGCGCCUGCUAAAGAUAAUUGUUCCCAUGGAGUCCUGAUUGUAACACUGUGGCUUGAGGAUCAGCGUAUAUAGAGGAUAUAUAUUUAAAAUGAAGAAGGGAAUCCAAAUUUAUCAAGCAAGAACCCCAGGAAGUUAUAGAUCAGGUGGCCAAAUACCUUUUCAACAUCCAACGCCAGCAAGAGACCCCCUGAACCAGAGCUCCGGAGGCGGGGGAGCUUGUUAACAUGAGCUACACCUGGGCGGCCUUGGACACACCCAGUGUGAUCAUUUUGAAAUAACCUGGGUAAAAGGGAGC